rnacentral:lncRNA from 1 species
GGGGGCUGACGCAGAAUGGUGUGAACCUGGGAGGCAGAGGUUGCGGUGAGCCGAGAUCGUGCCACUGCACUCCAGCCUGGGCAACAGGGCAAGACUCCAUCUCAAAAAAAAAAUUAGCCAGAUGUGGUGGCGCACACUUGUAAUCCCAGCUACUUGGGAGGCUGAGGUGGGAGAAUCAUCUGAGCUUGGGAAGUGGAGGCUGCAGUGAGCUGAGACUGCACCACUACACUUCAGUCCAGCCUGGGCAACCAGAGUGAGACCCUAUCUCAAAAAAAAAAAAAAAAAGAAGUGCUAAUUUUUGGUUGGUGGUAAAAGAAUCUCUCACUGGCAACUUCCCCUCCAGGGCAAAAAUCAGAGUGCAAGAUUCUGACUCCUUUCAAGUUUAAAGGGAAAAAUAAGAUGAGAGAUGAAUAGAAGGGGGAAAAAUAUAAAAUGAGAUGUCACAUGUGACUUUUUCCUUUAAGUCAAGAUCUUGCUCUGUCACCCAGGCUGGAGUGCAGUGGCACAAUGAUAGCUCACCGCAGCCUCAAACUCCUGGGCUCAGGUUUCUCUGGCCCCAGCCUCCCAAGUAGCUGGGACUACAGAUGUGUUCCACCAUGCCUGGCUAAUUUUUUUUUUUUUAGUUUUAGUAGAGACAGGAUCUCACUAUGUUGUCUAGGCUGGUCUCAAACUCCAGAACUCAAGUGAUCCUCCCACCUUAGCCUCCCAAAGUGCUGGGAUUGGCUGGGCACAGUGUUUUUGAGACUGUCUCAAAAACAAACAAAACAAAACAAAACAAAAAAACACAAAAUGCUGGGAUUACAGGCAUAAGCUACUGCACCCAGCACUUGUGACUUCUUUAGGAAAGCCUAAACAGAGCUCUGAAAAGGAGGUAAGACAAAUAUCUUUGUAUUUAAAAAAACAAAAACAAAAAUGCCAAAAUAGAAACUACCAUGCCACCUUGGGAGGCAGCCUGAAUGAACCCAUCCAUUCUGCAAGGAUGUUUUAGAAGCACCCAGUAGAGGUGCUGACACAUAGAUCAGUUUCAAGAAAUGUUACCAGCCAAAUGUCUUAGGAGUUCUACUACACUGAACUAAUGGUACCUCUAGGAAGAUUUCUUCUCUAGGAAGAAAUCCUUGCCAUACAGUAACUUAGCUUUUCAUCUAUAUAAACCAUCAUAAUAGUCUAGAAAAGUAAUGGUGAUCAUUUCUAUUUUCAGUUGUUUCCGCUAUUUAUAAUUCUGCAGAGGCAAGAUCUGUCUUUCCUUAUUUAAGACCAUUCUACUCUGUUGGGAGCUUGUUCACUGCUUUGACUACAAAUGCAGGCCCACUUUCCUCAGAUGGAUGGCUUACAUAACAUUUGGUUUGGCUGGGCACAGUGGCUCAUGCCUGUAAUCACAGCACUUUGGGAGGCCCAGGCAGAUCAUUUGAGGUCAGGAGUUCAAGACCAGCCUAGCCAACAUGGUGAAAGCCCGUCUCUACUAAAAAUACAAAAAAAUGAGCCGCGGGUGGUGACAUGCACCUGUAAUCCCAGCUACUUGGGAGAGUGAGAAACGAGAAUUGCUUGAACCCAGGAGGUGGAGGUUGCAGUGAGCCGAGAUCAGCCACUGCAAGACAGAGAGAGACCUUGUCUCAAAAACAAACAAACAAACAAACAAACACAAAAACACAAUGUGGUUUACUGGCUACAAUUUUAGCAUUUUAUAGCCUCCACGAAAGAAUAAAAAUGCCUCGACUGGCUUCAUGUCCUGGAAGAAUUAUUAAGGAAAAAAAAAAACCUUGGAAUUUGAUAGACCCUGGUUUGAAUUCAGCCCUGAAAAUUCCUGACUAUGAUUUCGAGUGAGUUGCUUAAUUAGAGUCUCACAUAAAACGAGGAUGCCUAUCCUACCAAAAAAUCAUGACAAUUAGAACUUCUACAACAGGCUUGGCAGUCACUACUAACCAAUCUGUUCUCCUGUCUUGCUCCCUUAUCUGCCACAGUACCUUAAAAUGACCACCUACAAUUACUACCACUUGACCAGCUAGUUUUUCUUUUUUCUUUUUUUUUGAGACGGAGUUUUGCUUGUUGCCCAGGCUGGAGUGCAAUGGCACCAUUUUUGCCCACUGCAACCUCCGCCUCCCACGUUGAGGCAAUUCUCCUGCCUCAGCCUCUUUUUUUUCUUUGAGACAGUCUUGCUCUGUUGCCCAGGCCGGAGUACGUUGGCGCAACCUUGGCUCACUGCAACCUCCACCUCCUGGGUUUCAGCGAUUCUCCUGCUUCAGUCUCCUAAGUAGCUGGAAUUAUAGGCAUGCGCCUCCAUACCUAAUUUUUGUAAUUUUAGUAGAGAUGGGGUUUCACCAUGUUAGCCAGGCUGGUCUCGAACUCCUGGCCUCAAGUGAUCUGCCCACCUCGGCCUCCCAAAGUUCUGGGAUUACAGGCGUGAGCCACCGCACCCAGUCUUUUAUUUUAAUAUACAUUUUAAAGGCUAAGUGAAGCAGUGGAAAGGGAGAAGGAAAAAAAAAUCUGUUAACUGGUUGUGAUCAACUAGUUGCAAUACUGCUGCACUUAGACCAGCCACGACCCCACUAGCUUUUCUAUAAAGCCCAGUGAGGCUUUUUUUUUUUUUUUUUUUUUUUUUUUUUUGGCUCUCAGUUGACACCUAGGCUGGAGUGCAGUGGUGCGACCAUAGGUCAGUACAGCCUCAACCUCCCAGGACUCAACCAGUCGUCCCACUUCAGCCUCCUGUGUAGCUGGCACUACAGGUGCACACCACCAAGCCUGGCUAAUUUUUAAAUUUUUGUGUUGAGAAAAGGUCUCACUAUAUUAUCCAAGCAGGCUGUUUUAGUUGGCCUGUUUUAAAGGACUAAAUAUAUAUUUUUCCCCCACAGAUUUUCAAAUCAGAGAGAAGUAAUGCUCCUGCUGUAUAAAACAUGAACUUGGUGUUGGAUGUAGUUUUUGUCAGUUAGUUUGUACUAUCAUUACAUGCUCUGAAGGAGGGAGAGUUUGAAGGCACAGCCCUCUCACCCAGUUGGGACUCUCAGUGACUUCACAAAGAGAUGGCACUAGAACUGAAUCUGACAGUACAGAAACAUGUCACUGGCAAGAGGGGGAGGACAUUUCUAGAAUAGGAAAUUAUAGUUAAGUCAAGGUAUGCUGAGGUAACAGAGAUGAUGGAAUAUAGGGCUUAUGUUGAAUGUUUCUUUCAUCCUAAGGUUGCUUUUUUACCCUAGUAUUUUUAUAAUGAUCCCCCAAAGUUCCAGGAAACCCAUACCUUCUUUAUUUUUAAGAUGCAGUUUCACUCUUGUUGCCUAGGCUGGAGUGCAAUGGCACGAUCUCAGCUUACCGCAACCUCCGCUUCCUGGGUUCAAGCGAUUCUCAUGCCUCAGCCUCCCAAGUAGCUGGGAUUACAGGCAUGUGCCACCACGCCCAGCUAAUUUUCCUCCCUUUAUUUCUUUAAAAAAUAGAGACAGGGUUUUACCAUGUUGCCCGGGCUGGUCUUGAGCUCCUGGACUCAAGUGAUCCACUGCCCCCAGCCCACCCCACACUCUUCUUAAGUCAAGGUUUCAAUGGUCACCACAUACUCUAGAGGAACAGUUUGUGGCAACUUAGCUUGGUACCACAAAGGAAAACCAGUUUCACAAGUGGCUUACUAGAGAACCCCUACUUUUCUUUUUCUUUUUUUUAAGAGACAGAGUCUCACUCUGUCACCCAGUGGCACAAUCUUGGGUCACUGCAACCUCCAGCUCCCAGGUUCAAGCGAUUCUCCUGCCUCAGCCUCCUGAACUACAGGUGCGUGCCACCAUGCCCGACUAAUUUUUUUGUAUUUUUAGUAGAUAUAUUGGCCAGGCUGGUCUCCAACUCUUGGCCUCAAGUGAUCCACCUGCCUCAGCCUCCCAAAGUGUUAGGAUUACAGGUAUGGGCCACCACAACCAGCCUAAGUUCAUAUUACUUACUGAGUUCAUUAUUUCUUGCAUGUGUUUCUUUUUUUUUCUUUUUUUUUUUUUUAAGAGAUGGGAGUUUCACUCUUGUUGCCCAGGCUGGAGUGCAAUGGCGUGAUCUCAGUUCAUUGCAACCUCCACCUCCUGGGUUUCAAGAGAUUCUCCUGCCUCAGCCUCCCGCAUAGCUGGGAUUACAGGCAUGUGCCACCAUGCCCGGCUAAUUUUGUUAUUUUUAGUAGAGACAGGGUUUCUUCAUGUUGGUCAGGAUGGUCUCGAAUUCUCGACCUCAGGUGAACCACCUGCCUCGGCCUCCCAAAGUGCUGUGAUUGCAGGCAUGAGCCAUUGCGCCCGGUCGCAUGUGUUUCUUAAUGGCACCUACCUGCAUUUCCUAGCCCCUGAAUAUCUUUAGACUUUUAUGUUAGUAGCUUAUAGUAAGAUAUUAUGGAGGAUCAUAGGUAUAGGACUCUGACUAGACCUCUAGCUUGGAUGCAGCAAGACUGAAACAGCUGGACUAGUAUUUUGAGCAAUCCUAGGCCUUGGAGAAAUUUCUCAGCCACCCAACUUGCACAGGAAAAACUGAAGCCUUGGCGUCCUCUGGUGGUAGACUGGUUAUCAGAGUCAGACAUGCUUCUCAACUAGGAAUAGGCAAGCAUGAAAGUUCACAGAAGCCACAGGAUAAACAUGGCACAUUUUCCCAGAUCAUCUUUACUUAAAGAUUUUUUGGGAGAAAAAG